CUUGACUGUAUCUUGGAAUUGGGUUCGGGCUUUUCUUGCGCAGACUAGGUGGGAGGCUAUGAAGGUUUUCUUCCGGGAAAGUUGGAGCCAACAGUGAGAGACCACUCUGGAAAGGCUAGAAUCCAAAUGGUGAUCCUUGAAUCAGGACACUUGACAGUUUCAGGUGGGCAGUUUGUUUGGGGCGAACGCCUCAUAAAAGGUAACUGAGGCGCGCAAAGGUCCCCUCAGUCUGGACGGAAAUCAGACAUUGAGUGUAAAGGCAAAAGGGGGCUUGACUGCAAGACCCACAAGUCGAGCAGGAGCGAAAGCUGGCCUUAGUGAUCCGACGGUGCCGUGUAGAAGGGCCGUCGCUCAACGAAUAAAAGUUA
rnacentral:rRNA from 1 species